rnacentral:rRNA from 1 species
CAGCAGCCGCGGUAAUACGUAGGUGGCAAGCGUUGUCCGGAAUUAUUGGGCGUAAAGGGCUCGCAGGCGGUUUCUUAAGUCUGAUGUGAAAGCCCUCGGCUCAACCGGGGAGGGUCAUUGGAAACUGGGAAACUUGAGUGCAGAAGAGGAGAGUGGAAUUCCACGUGUAGCGGUGAAAUGCGUAGAGAUGUGGAGGAACACCAGUGGCGAAGGCGACUCUCUGGUCUGUAACUGACGCUGAGGAGCGAAAGCGUGGGGAGCGAACAGGAUUAGAUACCCCCGUAGUCCCUGUCUCUUAUAC